AUUUAUUUUUUGUCUUUUGUCUUUUUGUCUUUUUGUUGUUAUUGCAAUUUCUUGGGCCGCUCCCGCGGCAUAUGGAGGUUCCCAGGCUAGGGGUUGAAUCGGAGCUGUAGCCACCGGCCUACGCCAGAGCCACAGCAACGCAGGAUCCGAGCCGUGUCUGCAACCUACACCACAGCUCACGGCAACCCUGGAUCGUUAACCCACUGAGCAAGGGCAGGGACCAAACCCGCAACCUCAUGGUUCCUAGUCGGAUUCGUUAACCACUGCGCCACGACGGGAACUCCUUUUUUUUUUCUUUUUUAAUUUCUUUCUUUUUGCUUUUUAGGGCCGCACCCGUGGCAUAUGGAGGUUCCCAGGCUAGGGGUCUAAUCGGAGCUGCAGCUGCCGGCCUUCACCACAACCAUAGCCAUACCAGAUCUGAGCCACGUCUGUGACCUACACCACAGCUCACAGCAAUGCUGGAUCCUUAACCCACGAAGUGAGGCCAGGGAUCGAACCCACAACCUCAGGGUUCCUAGCUGGAUUCCUUCCUGCUGCGCCAGGACAGGAACUCCUUUUAAAUUGUGGUAAAAUACGCGUGAUAGGGAAUUCACAAGCUUCACCCAUUGACGUGUACAAGUGAGUAGGACUCAGGGGAUUCACACUGUUCACUGUCAGCACCAUACAUCCCAGAAGGAUUUCCAUCCGGCAAAAUAAAACUCUGUAGCCAUUAAACAAAAACGCCAGCUCGCCAUGCCCCCUUCUCCCAGCUCAUCCCUUUUUAAGGCUGAAUAAUAUUUCGUCCAUUGUAUGAAUAUAGCACAUUUUGUUUAUCCAUUUAUCUGUCGGUGGACACAGGUUAUUUCCAUGUUUUAGUGGUUUGGAAUAAUGCUGCCGUGAACAUGGGUGUACACCUAUCUGUGAGUCUCUGCUUUGUUCAUGUUGCCUUCUGAUUAAACAAAUUUUUUUUUCUUUUUUGUCUUUUCUAGGCCCACUCCCGUGGCAUAUGGAGGGUCCCAGGCUAGGGGUCCAGUUGGAGCUGUAGCCGCUGGCCUACACCAGAGCCACAGCAACUCGGGAUCCCAGCCGCAUCUGCAACCUACACCACAGCUCACGGCCAUGCUGGAUCAUUAACCCACUGAUCAAGGUCGGGGAUCGAACCUGCAACCUCGUGGUUCCUAGUUGGAUUCGUUAACCACUGUGCCACGACGAGAACUCCAUGAUUAAACAAAAAUUUUUUUAAACUCACUUUUUUCAUUCUUCCUUUCCUUUAUGGUUUGUGGGGUUUUUUUUGGGGGGGGGAGAUGUAGGUGCGACAUAUGGAGGUUCCCAGGCUAGGGGUCGAAUUGGAGCUGUAGCUGCCAGCCUACACCACAGCCAUAGCCACAGCCACGCCAGAUCCAAGCCACAUCUGUGACCUACACCACAGCUCACGGCAACGCCAGAUCCUUAACCUACUGCAAGGCCAGGGAUUGAACCCUCAUCCUCAUGGAUACUAGUCGGGUUUGUUUCUGCUGCGCUGCAACUGGAACUCCUUGAGGUCUUAAAGAGACAUCUGUGCACCUGUGUUCACAGCAGUACUAUUCACGAAAGCCGAAAGGCGGAAGGAAGCCGAGUGUCCGUCAGUGGAUGGACGGAUAAACAAAACGGGUCUAUCCGCACACUGGGAAAUCAUUCAACCUUACAAAAUGAAAACCCGGAGUUCCCACUGUGGCUCCGCUGGCUAAGAGCCUGAUGAGUAUCCAUGAGGAUGUGGGUUCGAUUCUUGGCCUCGCUCAGUGGGUUACGGAUCUGGCAUUGCCGUGAGCUGUGGUGUAGGUUGCAGAUUCAGCUCAGAUUCUGUGGGGCUGUGGCUAUAGCUGGCUUGCCUGGGAACCUCUAUAUGUCACAGGUGCAGGCUAAAAAAAAAAGCGGGGGGAACCUCCCCUGUCAUAGUCUACAAAAUGGAUGAAUCUACAAGACAUUAGGCCGAGUGAAAUACGCCGGGCACAAAAGGACAAAUAUGAGAUGACUCCCCUUAAACGAGACGUCCAGAGUGGCCCAGUUCAUAGAGACAGCGUUCCAGGUGGUUGUGGGGCAGGGAGCUAUGUUUGCCAGAAACAGAAGUUCAGUUUGGGAAGAUGGAAAGUUCUGGAGCUGGAGGAGGAUGGUAGGGGCUGUAUAACCAUGUGAAUGUGCUAAAUGCCACUGGACCGUGAGAACUGCAGCCACUCUCCACACGAAAGAUCCCCUGAAGCCUUCCAAGUGGCCUGACCCAACUCCGGCACAGCUUCCUGCAGGUGCCUGGGAAGGCCCCACCCUGCUUCUCUCCCAUCUGGACCAACGCAAGGCCACCAAAAGUCACUCUUUGUGCCAGCCAGCCCCUCGCUGAUAGGCCUCUGGCCUCCCUUUCUUGGGGGUAUUUACUAAAAAUAAAAACAAAGAAAAACCGAUAACUUACGAUUGUAACGCUUUCCUCUGUCCUUUGGAGACUGCGCGUUCCUGCUACAGUGGAGAAUGAUCUUUCUGGAAGACCUCAGAGACGGUCCUUUUAAGCAUCGUGGUCAAGAAAAGCAGAGCCUCGGCCCCCCAGGCUCUGUGGGAGGGGAGAUGGCCGGCUGAGCAAAGCCGGUUCGUGGACGCAGCUGACCCAGCGGUGUUUACACGGACCAGCCCUCUCCAGGUUUUUGUAUCGAUUCACUUCCCCGACUCUGCCUGGGCCCAGCCGCUGCUUCUCCCCGCUCCUGGUCUCCCUUGAAAAUGCCCGCUCAUCUCAGGCUCAGCUG
rnacentral:lncRNA from 1 species